AGGACGAACGCUGGCGGCGUGCUUAACACAUGCAAGUCAAGGGGGCCCAGCAAUGGGCAACCGGCGAACGGGUGCGUAACACGUGAGCAACCUACCGAAAUGUGGGGGAUAGCCGGCCUAACGGCCGAGUAAUACCGCAUACGCUCUCGAUGAGGCAUUUCAUUGAGAGGAAACCUACGGGACAUUUUGAGGGGCUCGCGGCCUAUCAGCUAGUUGGAGAGGUAACGGCUCACCAAGGCAACGACGGGUAGC
rnacentral:rRNA from 1 species